GGGUUGUGAGGUUAAGCGACUAAGCGUACACGGUGGAUGCCCUGGCAGUCAGAGGCGAUGAAGGGCGUGCUAAUCUGCGAUAAGCGCCGGUAAGGUGAUAUGAACCGUUAUAACCGGCGAUACCCGAAUGGGGAAACCCAGUGUGAUUCGUCACACUAUCAUUAACUGAAUCCAUAGGUUAAUGAGGCGAACCGGGGGAACUGAAACAUCUAAGUACCCCGAGGAAAAGAAAUCAACCGAGAUUCCCCCAGUAGCGGCGAGCGAACGGGGAGGAGCCCAGAGCCUGAAUCAGCAUGUGUGUUAGUGGAAGCGUCUGGAAAGGCGCGCGAUACAGGGUGACAGCCCCGUACACAAAAGCGCAUGUGCUGUGAGCUCGAUGAGUAGGGCGGGACACGUGGUAUCCUGUCUGAAUAUGGGGGGACCAUCCUCCAAGGCUAAAUACUCCUGACUGACCGAUAGUGAACCAGUACCGUGAGGGAAAGGCGAAAAGAACCCCGGCGAGGGGAGUGAAAAAGAACCUGAAACCGUGUACGUACAAGCAGUGGGAGCACAGGUUUACCUGUGUGACUGCGUACCUUUUGUAUAAUGGGUCAGCGACUUAUAUUCUGUAGCAAGGUUAACCGUAUAGGGGAGCCGGAGGGAAACCGAGUCUUAACCGGGCGUUAAGUUGCAGGGUAUAGACCCGAAACCCGGUGAUCUAGCCAUGGGCAGGUUGAAGGUUGGGUAACACUAACUGGAGGACCGAACCGACUAAUGUUGAAAAAUUAGCGGAUGACCUGUGGCUGGGGGUGAAAGGCCAAUCAAACCGGGAGAUAGCUGGUUCUCCCCGAAAGCUAUUUAGGUAGCGCCUCGUGAAUUCAUCUCCGGGGGUAGAGCACUGUUUCGGCUAGGGGGCCAUCCCGGCUUACCAACCCGAUGCAAACUGCGAAUACCGGAGAAUGUUAUCACGGGAGACACACGGCGGGUGCUAACGUCCGUCGUGAAGAGGGAAACAACCCAGACCGCCAGCUAAGGUCCCAAAGUCAUGGUUAAGUGGGAAACGAUGUGGGAAGGCACAGACAGCCAGGAUGUUGGCUUAGAAGCAGCCAUCAUUUAAAGAAAGCGUAAUAGCUCACUGGUCGAGUCGGCCUGCGCGGAAGAUGUAACGGGGCUAAACCAUGCACCGAAGCUGCGGCAGCGACGUUUAUGUGUUGUUGGGUAGGGGAGCGUUCUGUAAGCCUGUGAAGGUGUGUCGUGAGGCAUGCUGGAGGUAUCAGAAGUGCGAAUGCUGACAUAAGUAACGAUAAAGCGGGUGAAAAGCCCGCUCGCCGGAAGACCAAGGGUUCCUGUCCAACGUUAAUCGGGGCAGGGUGAGUCGACCCCUAAGGCGAGGCCGAAAGGCGUAGUCGAUGGGAAACGGGUUAAUAUUCCCGUACUUGGUGUUACUGCGAAGGGGGGACGGAGAAGGCUAUGUUGGCCGGGCGACGGUUGUCCCGGUUUAAGCGUGUAGGCUGGUUUUCCAGGCAAAUCCGGAAAAUCAAGGCUGAGGCGUGACGACGAGGCACUACGGUGCUGAAGCAACAAAUGCCCUGCUUCCAGGAAAAGCCUCUAAGCAUCAGGUAACAUCAAAUCGUACCCCAAACCGACACAGGUGGUCAGGUAGAGAAUACCAAGGCGCUUGAGAGAACUCGGGUGAAGGAACUAGGCAAAAUGGUGCCGUAACUUCGGGAGAAGGCACGCUGACACGUAGGUGAAGUGAUUUACUCAUGGAGCUGAAGUCAGUCGAAGAUACCAGCUGGCUGCAACUGUUUAUUAAAAACACAGCACUGUGCAAACACGAAAGUGGACGUAUACGGUGUGACGCCUGCCCGGUGCCGGAAGGUUAAUUGAUGGGGUCAGCGCAAGCGAAGCUCCUGAUCGAAGCCCCGGUAAACGGCGGCCGUAACUAUAACGGUCCUAAGGUAGCGAAAUUCCUUGUCGGGUAAGUUCCGACCUGCACGAAUGGCGUAAUGAUGGCCAGGCUGUCUCCACCCGAGACUCAGUGAAAUUGAACUCGCUGUGAAGAUGCAGUGUACCCGCGGCAAGACGGAAAGACCCCGUGAACCUUUACUAUAGCUUGACACUGAACAUUGAGCCUUGAUGUGUAGGAUAGGUGGGAGGCUUUGAAGCGUGGACGCCAGUCUGCGUGGAGCCGACCUUGAAAUACCACCCUUUAAUGUUUGAUGUUCUAACGUGGACCCGUAAUCCGGGUUGCGGACAGUGUCUGGUGGGUAGUUUGACUGGGGCGGUCUCCUCCUAAAGAGUAACGGAGGAGCACGAAGGUUGGCUAAUCCUGGUCGGACAUCAGGAGGUUAGUGCAAUGGCAUAAGCCAGCUUGACUGCGAGCGUGACGGCGCGAGCAGGUGCGAAAGCAGGUCAUAGUGAUCCGGUGGUUCUGAAUGGAAGGGCCAUCGCUCAACGGAUAAAAGGUACUCCGGGGAUAACAGGCUGAUACCGCCCAAGAGUUCAUAUCGACGGCGGUGUUUGGCACCUCGAUGUCGGCUCAUCACAUCCUGGGGCUGAAGUAGGUCCCAAGGGUAUGGCUGUUCGCCAUUUAAAGUGGUACGCGAGCUGGGUUUAGAACGUCGUGAGACAGUUCGGUCCCUAUCUGCCGUGGGCGCUGGAGAACUGAGGGGGGCUGCUCCUAGUACGAGAGGACCGGAGUGGACGCAUCACUGGUGUUCGGGUUGUCAUGCCAAUGGCACUGCCCGGUAGCUAAAUGCGGAAGAGAUAAGUGCUGAAAGCAUCUAAGCACGAAACUUGCCCCGAGAUGAGUUCUCCCUGAGACUUAGAGUCUCCUGAAGGAACGUUGAAGACGACGACGUUGAUAGGCCGGGUGUGUAAGCGCAGCGAUGCGUUGAGCUAACCGGUACUAAUGAACCGUGAGGCUUAACCUUACAACGCCGAAG
rnacentral:rRNA from 1 species